AUCUAUGGCCAUGCCACCCUGAACAAGCCCGAUCCCAUCUGAUCUUGGAAGCUAAGCAGGGUUGGGCCUGGUUAGUACUUCGAUGGGAGACCACUUAGGAAGACCAGGUGCUGUAGGCG
rnacentral:rRNA from 1 species